KAACAAGGUUUCCGUAGGUGAACCUGCGGAAGGAUCAUUA
rnacentral:rRNA from 1 species